rnacentral:lncRNA from 1 species
AAACUUUUCCCCUGCCAGUAAAUAAGAAUAAGGUUUAGUUCUUGAAUAUUAAUUCAGUGAUGCUGACGUCUAGUUCUUCUGUUCCAAUGGCGGAUGCUGUGCUCUUUAAUGUGAAACAGGCCGCGCUGACGUCGAGUCGUUUCCUUCCGAAAGCAUACGCUGCCUCAUGAAUAUUAAUAACUAAGCCUUCGCCAUACUACGAUUGGUUAACUCGCCUCCCAACCGGGAGGCUUUGCUCCGCCCACACUUCCAAUUGGGAUUCUGUGUCGCUGCAUCCAUUUUUGUGUAUUUAAGAUAUCUUCAAGGAUUACCAAACCUGGAGAAAAGCGAGGCACCGGCGCAGAGGGACUCAAAAGGGAAACAAACAUUUAUUAUGAGAUGCAAAAGAACUUUUCCAGGACGAUGACAGCGAUGGGUUAGACAGGAUUGAACAGGAUGAUGGCCAAAUAAAAGGCAAGAGGCGAUUUCACAUCCUCACUGAAAUCUGGAAUAACAUCUGAGAUCUGCUAUUUUAUUCAUAAUGCAUCGUUGCUUUAUUCAUUUUCUUUUUGUAUUGAGGAAGAGGGGAAUUUUAAGCAGGAUUGCGUUAAUUUCAAUAGCCAUUGCCUUCAAAAGGACCAGCUGUAUCCAUUCUUCUGUUCUAUUGCUCAGAGAAUGAUUGAUCUAAUGCUGUUAAAUCCACCUUAUGUAGUCUAAGAGCUUACACUGUUAUCAUUUAAAUAGUAGUCUAAUAACUUAAACUCCUUUAGUGUUUUAAAGCAUCGUGACGGUCAGCAGAGAUGCUGCUGUGGGUUAUGAUGCUUUGAUUCCUGAGCGACCAAAACCCACUGAUGAUUGAUCAAAUAGACCUUGCAUUCAUCAUGGAUUAAGUCUGGUUAUUGAUCUUCUUCAGCAUUGGGGUGUAAAGAUGUCUGCUCCAGCCGGGCCCCGCAGCGGGCCUGUCCUGCCGGAGAUGCCGGACCUGAGCCACCUCACCGAGGAGGAGAGGAAGAUCAUCCUCGGUGUCAUGGACAGGCAGAAGAAAGAGGAGGAGAAGGAGCAGACCAUGUUGAAUUUUCUUGCUAUAGUUCAUCUGAAGUGUACAACUGCCCACAGAAAGAGAAGUUAUUUCGAUAACUCAAGAUUUUUUCUUUAAGCUCAGGCUGGAGGUUGUGGUAGCGAUGGCAGACAGGAGAGCGCGGGCGCUGCCAGCCCCACUGACCAGCACAGACUGGCACACUGGCAGCUGUAAUUGUGGAGUAAUUAUGCCCCAUGCAGAGAUUCAGCUCUGUAUUAUGUAACAGGACUUUCCUCUUCUGUGCAUCGCUGACAGCGGGAGGCCAGUGUGUCCACGCUUAUACACACA